rnacentral:rRNA from 1 species
AUUGAACGCUAGCGGCAUGCUUUACACAUGCAAGUCGAACGAGUGGCGGACGGGUGAGUAAUAUAUCGGAACCUGCCCAGUAGCGGGGGAUAACUACUGGAAAGGGUGGCUAAUACCGCAUACUAUUGGAUGGGCCGAUAUGGGAUUAGCUAGUAGGUGGGGUAAAGGCUCACCAAGGCAACGAUCCGUAGCUGGUCUGAGAGGAUGACCAGCCACACUGGGACUGAGACACGGCCCAGACUCCUACGGGAGGCAGCAGUGGGGAAUUUUGGACAAUGGGGGAAAGCCUGAUACAGCCAUGCCGCGUGUAUGAAGAAGGCCCUAGGGUUGUAAAGUACUUUCAGCCGGGAGGCGUUACCGACAGAAGAAGCACCGGCUAACUCCGUGCCAGCAGCCGCGGUAAUAC